rnacentral:rRNA from 1 species
GUGAACGCUGGCGGUAGGCCUAACACCUGCAAGUCGCACGGCAGCACAGUAAGAGCUUGCUCUUACGGGUGGCGAGUGGCGGACGGGUGAGGAAUACAUCGGAAUCUACUUUUUCGUGGGGGAUAACGUAGGGAAACUUACGCUAAUACCGCAUACGACCUACGGGUGAAAGCAGGGGAUCUUCGGACCUUGCGCGAUUGAAUGAGCCGAUGUCGGAUUAGCUAGUUGGCGGGGUAAAGGCCCACCAGGGCGACGAUCCGUAGCUGGUCUGAGAGGAUGAUCAGCCACACUGGAACUGAGACACGGUCCAGACUCCUACGGGAGGCAGCAGUGGGGAAUAUUGGACAAUGGGCGCAAGCCUGAUCCAGCCAUACCGCGUGGGUGAAGAAGGCCUUCGGGUUGUAAAGCCCUUUUGUUGGGAAAGAAAAGCAGCAGGUUAAUACCCCGCUGUUCUGACGGUACCCAAAGAAUAAGCACCGGCUAACUUCGUG